CAAAGGCUUGGUCCUGACUUUACUAUCAGCUUUAGCCAAACUUACACAUGCAAGUCUCCGCACCCCCGUGAGAAUGCCCUCAGUCCCCUGCCCGGGGACAAGGAGCAGGUAUCAGGCACGCCCCUGCAGCCCAAAACGCCUUGCUCAGCCACACCCCCAAGGGAACUCAGCAGUGAUAAAUAUUAAGCAAUAAGUGAAAACUUGACUUAGUUAAAGCAAAGAGGACCGGUAAAACUCGUGCCAGCCACCGCGGUUAUACGAGAGGUCCAAGUUGAUGAUAUACCGGCGUAAAGAGUGGUUAGGGAAAACAAAAUAAACUAAAGCCAAACACCUUCAGAACUGUUAUACGUACCCGAAGGCAUGAAGAACCACCACGAAAGUGGCUUUACCAGCCCUGAACCCACGAAAGCUAUGAAACAAACUGGGAUUAGAUACCCCACUAUGCUUAGCCAUAAACAUAGAUAGCAUCUCACCCCGCUAUCCGCCCGGGAACUACGAGCAAUAGCUUAAAACCCAAAGGACUUGGCGGUGCUUUAGAUCCACUUAGAGGAGCCUGUUCUAGAACCGAUAAUCCCCGUUCAACCUCACCUUUCCUAGUUUAACCCGCCUAUAUACCGCCGUCGCCAGCUUACCCUGUGAAGGUCUUAUAGUAAGCAAAAGUGAUUAAAAUCCAAGACGUCAGGUCGAGGUGUAGCGCAUGGAAAGGAAAGAAAUGGGCUACAUUCCCUAACUCAGGGAAUACGAAUAAUACACUGAAACGCGUAUUUGAAGGAGGAUUUAAUAGUAAGUAGAAAAUAGAGUGUCCUACUGAAACCGGCCCUGAAGCGCGCACACACCGCCCGUCACUCUCCCCAAACUCAAACUACUAAACUAAACCUUAAAACAUUACCCAUGAAAAGGGGAGGCAAGUCGUAACAUGGUAAGUGUACCGGAAGGUGCACUUGGAAUUACAU
rnacentral:ncRNA from 1 species